UGGCUCAGUGGUUAAGAGCACUGGCUGCUCAUCCAGAGGUCCUGAGUUCAAUUCUCAG
rnacentral:tRNA from 1 species